rnacentral:rRNA from 1 species
GACAGAGGAUGCAAGCGUUAUCCGGAAUCACUGGGCGUAAAGCGUCUGUAGGUGGUUCGAAAAGUCCACUGUUAAAAAUUGAGGCUUAACUUCAAAGAUGCCGUGGAAACUUUCAAACUAGAGGAUGGUAGGGGUAGAGGGAAUUUCCAGUGGAGCGGUGAAAUGUGUAGAUAUUGGAAAGACCACCGAUGGCGAAGGCACUCUACUGGGCCAUGACUGACACUGAGAGACGAAAGCUAGGGGAGCAAAUGGG